GACGACCAUAUCAUGUUGAAACACCGAUUCCCGUACGAUCACUGAAGUUAUGCAAGGUCGAGUUUGGUCAAUAGAUAGAUGGUCACCACUUGGGAAUACUACGUGCUGUAAG